UACGUAGGGGGCGAGCGUUGUCCGGAAUUACUGGGCGUAAAGGGCUCGUAGGCGGCCAACUAAGUCAUACGUGAAAUCCCUCGGCUUAACCGGGGAACUGCGCCUGAUACUGGUUGGCUUGAGUUUGGGAGAGGGACGCGGAAUUCCAGGUGUAGCGGUGAAAUGCGUAGAUAUCUGGAGGAACACCGGUGGCGAAGGCGGCGGCCUGGACCAAUACUGACGCUGAGGAGCGAAAGCCAGGGGAGCAAACGGG
rnacentral:rRNA from 1 species